CUGUACCUCAAGCCCGGCUUGUGUGUUGGGCCUACCGUCCUGUUUGGAUGGUGGCCCGAAAGGCAGUGGCGGCGUCGCGUCCCGGUCCUUGAAGCGUAUGGGGCUUUGUCACCCGCUUGGAGGCCGGCCGAUGCCGUAGCCCAUCGUGGAUCUUCCACAUUUAUUCU
rnacentral:misc_RNA from 1 species